rnacentral:rRNA from 1 species
CGGCGGACGGGUGAGUAACGCGUGGGUAACCUACCCUGUACACACGGAUAACAUACUGAAAGGUAUGCUAAUACGGGAUAAUAUAUUUGAGAGGCAUCUCUUGAAUAUCAAAGGUGAGCCAGUACAGGAUGGACCCGCGUCUGAUUAGCUAGUUGGUAAGGUAACGGCUUACCAAGGCGACGAUCAGUAGCCGACCUGAGAGGGUGAUCGGCCACAUUGGAACUGAGACACGGUCCAAACUCCUACGGGAGGCAGCAUG